rnacentral:rRNA from 1 species
UACGAAGGGGGCUAGCGUUGCUCGGAAUUACUGGGCGUAAAGGGCGCGUAGGCGGAUAGUUUAGUCAGAGGUGAAAACCCAGGGCUCAACCCUGGGCCUGCAUUCGAUACGGGCAGACUAGAGUGUGGCAGGGGAGACUGGAAUUCCUGGUGUAGCGGUGAAAUGCGCAGAUAUCAGGAGGAACACCGGUGGCGAAGGCGGGUCUCUGGGCCAAUACUGACGCUGAGGAGCGAAAGCGUGGGGAGCGAACAGG